GACGAACGCUGGCGGCGUGCCUAAUACAUGCAAGUUGAGCGCUGACGGUUGGUACUUGUACCAACUGGAUGAGCAGCGAACGGGUGAGUAACGCGUGGGGCAUCUGCCUUUGAGCGGGGGACAACAUUUGGAAACGAAUGCUAAUACCGCAUAAAAACUUUAAACACAAGUUUUAAGUUUGAAAGAUGCAAUUGCAUCACUCAAAGAUGAUCCCGCGUUGUAUUAGCUAGUUGGUGAGGUAAAGGCUCACCAAGGCGAUGAUACAUAGCCGACCUGAGAGGGUGGUCGGCCACCAUGGGACUGAGACACGGCCCAAGCUCCUACGGGAAGCAGCAGUAGGGAAUCUUCGGAAAUGGACGAAAGUCUGACCGAGCAACGCCGCGUGAGGGAAGAAGGGUGUCGGAUCGGAAAACUCUGUUGGUAGAGAAGAACGUGGGUGAGAGUGGAAAGCUCAUCAAGUGACGGUAACUACCCAGAAAGCGACGGCUAACUACGUG
rnacentral:rRNA from 1 species